GACUCCGCAGAGAUCCUCAUCAUCCUAUCACCGUUCAAGAUCACCUGAAUACUAAUACUGUGCACCUGUGUAUUUGUGUCACAUGACUCAGAUAGAUCGUAUUUUAGCCCGGGCUAUAGCUAGAAUCAUUGCGAGGUAUUGCUUUCCUUAGAGAAACUACUGAGCAGUCUUCCUGUUAUCCAUCGUGUGUAUGACCUUCUGCUUUCCGUUUUCUCUGACUGUGUUUUUGGAUUUGCCCCUGUGUACUUUUGCCUGGUUUAUUGGAUUUAUGGUUUUGACCCAUCGCCUGUUUUUUGGACUUCGCUCUGUUUUCCCCUGUAACAGCUUCUUGACAUCUACACAUCCUGUCAGCCCCAUAGCAUUGAGAUGGACAGAAACACCUGUGGAUGUUUUCAGAUCUGAAGCAAGAGUGGAGCUCGAUUUUCUCUCAAAGAUGAAAGCUUUAAGUACUUUUUGUCUGAUGGUGGAGGUUUUGAUGCUCCAGCCCUUGCAGAAAAGCCACAUAUAUUUCACAUGUGAAAUGUGCAAACCACAUGUUUAGAAGUAAUCAUAUGUUUUUUCCUUUAAUAUGUGCAGUGUCCAAAAAUCACAAUUCAAUUUCUGUAAGGGCAGGUCUUGCAUAGUUGUUAGAAGUCCUGCUUUCUCUGUGUCUUUUAAUAGUUUUUUUUUAACUCCUUUUUUGGGAAACUCCUACAUUUUCUCCUAAUUUGUUUCCUUUGACUUUUCCCUUCCUUAUGCAAAUAAAUGAACUUAUAUAUAAUUUCCUCAGAAAUAUCUCCUAAAAAAGUAAUAACUUGUUCUUAAUGGCAGUUUUGACUGGAAAUGAAAUAAACGAAGGGUCUGACUUG